rnacentral:piRNA from 1 species
UGCUACAGAGAGCCCUAGGCAGAGAGA